UGGGGAAUAUUUCACACCGGUGGAAACCCUGAUGCAGCGACGCCGCGUGAACGAAGAAGGUAUUCGUAUCGUAAAGUUCUGUCCUAUGGGAAGAUAAUGACAGUACCAUAGAAGAAAGCUCCGGCUAAAUACGUGCCAGCAGCCGCGGUAAUACGUAUGGAGCGAGCGUUGUCCGGAAUUAUUGGGCGUAAAGGGUACGCAGGCGGUUUAAUAAGUCGAAUGUUAAAGAUCGGGGCUCAACCCCGCAAAGCAUUGGAAACUGAUAAGCUUGAGUAGUGGAGAGGAAAGUGGAAUUCCUAGUGUAGUGGUGAAAUACGUAGAUAUUAGGAGGAAUACCAGUAGCGAAGGCGACUUUCUGGACACAAACUGACGCUGAGGUACGAAAGCGUGGGGAGCAAACAGG
rnacentral:rRNA from 1 species